GUAGGAGGCAAGCGUUAUCCGGAAUGACUGGGCGUAAAGGGUGCGUAGGUGGUUUGACAAGUUAGUAGCGCAACUACGGAGCUUAACUUCGGAACUACUACUAAAACUGUUGGACUUGAGUGCAGGAGGGGCAAUCGGAAUUCCUAGUGUAGCGGUGGAAUGCGUAGAUAUUAGGAGGAACACCAGUGGCGAAGGCGGAUUGCUAGACUGUAACUGACACUGAGGCACGAAAGCGUGGGGAGCAAA
rnacentral:rRNA from 1 species